UGGUAUGAAUGAACAUGCAUACUACCUGAUGGACAUAAUGGCUUGAAAGGAUAAGAACCCCAAUUGAUAUGGACUCAAGAAUGGAAGGCUAAUAGGUCAAAAGGAUACAAUGAAGCUAACAUGAAUACUAACGCUUAAGGUGUGAAUGGACAGAACUAAUACAUAAGCAUGUUUAUAUUCGGAAAAUGGUGUGCUCAACAAGGUAUAAUAACGUUGGGUCCAAGUGAGUUGUUGCCGGGAAGUAGUUGAUGAGUUUGGAAGAAUGAUCGAACAAGAUUUAUCGCGUCUUUAGAAUGUAAUAUGCUCCUCUAGCUAUAUGUUUAUAUUAUAAGUUUGAUGUCACCAUUACUAAUGUGUCGGUUCUUUAUGGUGACCGCUGGUUACACGGAUCAUUACCAUUUAUCACAAAGAACAAGCGGGCGAAGAUCGAGUUAUAGGACAUGGAUUGUACAAAAGGAUGGUCAUUUAGUUUGUAUUCGCAUGUUAUAUUUGGUACAUUAAUUAAAGAUGAAUGAUUUAGUUCUU